rnacentral:rRNA from 1 species
GACGAACGCUGGCGGCGUGCCUAAUACAUGCAAGUCGAACGAGAGCGACCGGUGCUUGCACUGGUCAAUCUAGUGGCGAACGAGUGAGUAACACGUGGGUAACCUGCCCAUCAGAGGGGGAUAACAUCCGGAAACGGAUGCUAAAACCGCAUAGGUCUUCGAGCCGCAUGGCUUGAAGAGGAAAAGAGGCGCAAGCUUCUGCUGAUGGAUGGACCCGCGGUGCAUUAGCUAGUUGGUGAGGUAACGGCUCACCAAGGCCGUGAUGCAUAGCCGACCUGAGAGGGUGAUCGGCCACAUUGGGACUGAGACACGGCCCAAACUCCUACGGGAGGCAGCAGUAGGGAAUCUUCCGCAAAGGACGCAAGUCUGACGGAGCAACGCCGCGUGAGUGAAGAAGGUUUUCGGAUCGUAAAACUCUGUUGUUAGAGAAGAACAAGUGCUAGAGUAACUGUUAGCGCCUUGACGGUAUCUAACCAGAAAGCCACGGCUAACUACGUG